GAAAUGCGAUAAGUAAUGUGAAUUGCAGAAUUCAGUGAAUCAUCGAAUCUUUGAACACGUUGUUGUUGUUUGAAAGCCUGGUGGUUCUGCUUCAAAAGUUCGAGUAACGCCGAACAAAAAUCUCAAUCUCAAAUCAGGUAGGAUUACCCGCUGAACUUAA
rnacentral:misc_RNA from 1 species